rnacentral:tRNA from 1 species
GGGCUUGUAGCUCAGCUGGUUAGAGCGUUGCAUUGACAUUGCAAAGGUCUCUGGUUCGAGUCCAGACAGGCCCACCA